GACGAACCGUGCGAACGUUGUUCGGAUUCACUGGGCUUAAAGGGCGCGUAGGCGGGCUCUCAAGUCGGGGGUGAAAUCCCACAGCUUAACUGUGGAAGUGCCUCCGAUACUGGGAGUCUUGAGGGAGGUAGGGGUGUGUGGAACUUCCGGUGGAGCGGUGAAAUGCGUAGAUAUCGGAAGGAACGCCGGUGGCGAAAGCGACGCACUGGACCUCUUCUGACGCUGAGGCGCGAAAGCCAGGGGAGCAAACGGG
rnacentral:rRNA from 1 species